rnacentral:piRNA from 1 species
UGGGCAGAGUUGCUUCCAGGUCUGUCUCCC